rnacentral:rRNA from 1 species
UACGGAGGGUCCAAGCGUUAUCCGGAAUUAUUGGGCGUAAAGAGCUCGUAGGCGGUUUGUUGCGUCGGCUGUGAAAUCCCGAGGCUCAACCUCGGGUCUGCAGUCGAUACGAGCAAACUAGAGUGUUGCAGGGGAGACUGGAAUUCCUGGUGUAGCGGUGAAAUGCGCAGAUAUCAGGAGGAACACCGGUGGCGAAGGCGGGUCUCUGGGCAACAACUGACGCUGAGGAGCGAAAGCGUGGGGAGCGAACAGG